UCCCUUUUAAACAGCAGCAGGAGAAAAUGCA
rnacentral:SRP_RNA from 1 species